AUUGAACGCUGGCGGCAUGCCUUACACAUGCAAGUCGAACGGCAGCACGGGUGCCUGCACCUGGUGGCGAGUGGCGAACGGGUGAGUAAUACAUCGGAACAUGUCCUGUAGUGGGGGAUAGCCCGGCGAAAGCCGGAUUAAUACCGCAUACGAUCCACGGAUGAAAGCGGGGGACCUUCGGGCCUCGCGCUAUAGGGUUGGCCGGUGGCUGAUUAGCUAGUUGGUGGGGUAAAGGCCUACCAAGGCGACGAUCAGUAGCUGGUCUGAGAGGACGACCAGCCACACUGGGGCUGAGACACGGCCCAGACUCCUACGGGAGGCAGCAGUGGGGAAUUUUGGACAAUGGGCGAAAGCCUGAUCCAGCAAUGCCGCGUGUGUGAAGAAGGCCUUCGGGUUGUAAAGCACUUUUGUCCGGAAAGAAAUCCUUGACUCUAAUACAGUCGGGGGAUGACGGUACCGGAAGAAUAAGCACCGGCUAACUACGUG
rnacentral:rRNA from 1 species